UUUAGUUCAAAUCGUGUCCAUGCCCCUUUAAAAUAUUCCAACCCAACGUGCAGGAAAAUAUCGAGGCAUCUUUUAUUUACUUUAUAUAUCACGGUGCUCUUUACCACGUGAUUUCUUUAAUGUUUUAAUGUAUUUAUAAUUUUCUGCAUAAAAGGGCGAUGCGGAAGUUACAAUUCUCCUUGAAAUAAAAACCUAUAUCUAUAUCUACAAAAGAAAUAAGUUAAAUCACGCAUACGGAACAAAUGACAAGGAAUUUGAAGACAAUAGAGGCAAUUGAAAGACUUGUACUGCUCAACUCAAGCACUCGUGCACUAAAAUGUUUAGUCAUUCAAUUUAUUAUAUCAAUAACUUAUCACAAAUACUUGUAUCUCGUGCGGUGGUGUAAACACUGACUCAUGGCCUAUACGAUUACUACAAAACGUACGUAAACUGCCGAACGAAUCUUAGUGCAUCAUAAUACAGGGUGUACGCUAUAGAAAAUUAAUUAUUCAUAAUCAUAAUUUCUUGUGCUUUAACUACUAGGCAGUCCAACGUAGGGUGUAAGAGAUUAUAACUGUUACAUUAUUGAUUGAUUCAGAUAAGAAUGGUGUGGUCUGGUUACAAACAAUAGGCGACGUAAAAUUCAAAUUCUAGUUUGUUCCUUUUUUACAGGGCAAUGUUAUCUUAGAACGAACGCUUGUUACGGCGAAUGUAUGCUAGAGGAAAAGAAUGUAUAUAUUAUUUUACCUAUCCGAAAUAGAAUGUUCCUACUUACGAACUAUUUAUUUGUUAUUUCUUUCAAGAUUUUUUUUUUAAUUACAAGCAGAGCGUGGGAACUAGCGAGCUAGUAUACUGCACAGGUGACUCGUUUGAUGUUAAUGCUAAUCUCAACUUUAUGACAAACGGGCAUGGAUUUCUCGAAACAUAAGUCCAAACUUUAACUUAAGUCUGAGAUUUUACUCAAAUUUUGACUGUUCAAAUAAAAGAGAAUUCAAACUUAAGUCUGAGAUUUUUUUUGAGAAAUCUAAGCUGUCGCUUUUCUAUCGUCGACUUCUCACAUUCCAUUAUCAUCUGCAUAUGGUGUUUAUUUCACUAAACUGAUUCGAAACGCGAGAGCAUGUUCUGCGUAUGAUAAACCACGACAAGCUACUGCCGAAUUGAUGACUUAGACACAAAAUUAAGAACCGUCACACCCAUGUUUACAUGCAUGUUUGUCAAAAGAAUGUUCACAUUGUAUAAGAAUAUGACAUCGCAACUCGAACAGUGAACAAGAGUAGAACUCAUCCUUAAGGUUGAGGACCAGUACACCUAGCCACUUGAGGACCAGUAUAUCAUUUAAUAACUUUUAAAGUGAUGACUUAUCAACGAUGCUGAUUGGUUGAAAAAUUCGUUUGAUUUUUCUGUCAAAAUUUCGUUCGAAGUUCAUCUGCACUAAGCACGAGGGACUACUUUUCUCUGGAAUGCGUCUUCCCCGUUCUAAUUUUAGCGCUAUUUAUAGAACGGGAUUUUUCACACAAGCAUAACGAAAUGCGUUUGUUUAAUUUUUGUUUUUCAUUGCUAUCAAAAAUAAGCGCAACUAUAGAUAUGAAUAAAAUACAAAUUAAUUUAGAGAAACAACAUACAUAGGCGAUGACGUGGCAGAAUAGUCAACUUGAUGACGUAUAGACCAUCGACCACUUACUGGUAGAAGUAGACAGAUUCACGAGUUCCCGGUAUGAAUCGUCUGCUUUACGAGAUCGAUAUCAUGACGGAGCAAGUGGCGACUUCUGAUCUGGUAAAUGUAUCAAUGAAAUUGAACUGCGUUAUAUGGGGCUCAGUCAAUGAGUGCGUUUUGAACUUUUUCCUCGAUAUUGAAAUGGAGCCGAAUUGCAUUCCACCGUUCCAACGACACAACCAGUGUUCAACGUCUCCUCCAACACGAUGCAGCAUAAAUCCAGUCACCACUUGUUAUCUUCCUUUAUAUUUAAUUCAGCAUUUAACCAUUGCACCUUUAAUUUGGCGUAUAAUCCAUUUAAAUCUGCACAGUAACUGUUCCUGACCUGAACGCACAGCCAUGCCGUUUUGUUUUUGUUUUCAUUCUUACCUAUAUGUAUUCCUACGCACCAUUUCAGAAACUUUAAUUCAAGCUUUUUGAUGGGAGAAACUAUUUGUUUUUCUAUCUUAAAAACAUAAUUAAAUGAUAAGAAAUAAAACUUAUAAUUCUUUGUUUGAUGCAUGUAUCAAACAAAGCAUUGGACGGAAAACUUUUUUAUCAAUGCGCUACGCGCAUUGAUGACGUUUUUUGUUCAAUGUUUCGUUUGAUACAUGCAUCAAACAAAGAAUUAUAAGUUUCAUUUCUUAAAUCUAGCUACUUGUGAACCAGUACACCUAACCACUUGAGGACCAGUAUACCUAGCUACUUGAGGACCAGUACACCUAGCUACUUGAGGAACAGUGCACCUAGCUACUUGAGAACCAGUACACCUAGCCACUUGAGGACCAGUUCACCUAGCCACUUGAGGACCAGUUCACCUAGCCUCUUGAGAACCAGUACACCUAGCCACUUGAGAACCAGUACACCUAGCUACUUGAGAACCAGUAUAUCUAGCUACUUGAGGGAAAAGAGUACCAAUUCAUUUCCCAUAGACCUCAAUGUUAACAUUUGGCCCUCUCACUAAUUAACUAUAUCGAUUUUAAAUAAAUGACCGCAAACAUUUCAAUGUUCAUUCCAAGUGUUGAUAAAAAAUGACAAAAAAUAUAUAGGGUCCUGUGCCUUUUAUAGGCCAUAUUUGUACUUUUUUAAAACACAUAGCAAUCUGCAGUAAAUUACACACUUCAUUUUAAGCACACCCCUACCAUGGUAAUUUCCUCAGUCAUUUCUCGAUUUUGUACGAUAAUUUUUCAUCCUGUUGACACCAUGAAAUGUCGGGAAAGAGCCAAGGUAUUACAGAAUUAGCUGUCAAAUUUAUAAAACAAAAUAAUAAUUUAAAAUAUAUAUCGGUGAAACUCUAGUAAUUAACACUUGUUUUUACUAAUUACCUAAAGAUAUCCUUCAAGAAUGAUUUAGUUUAUUUAAUGCUCUUCCACCUUAAAUCAAUAGCGUUGGUGAGAACCCGUAGUUCAUUUAAUGUCCACGUGAGCUCGUACGAUGUAAAGUGAGAUUUCUCGAAAUAUAGAGCAAGUUACGAAAUUCAUAUGAUGUACAUUGGCGGAUCCAGGAUUUCUGAAAGGGUUGAGCGUGUAAAAGUCAAGUAUCAGCCAAAAUACUGUCAUUCUGGGUGCCAAAUCUGGAGUUUCCAUCCACAUACAGUGCAUGCCAGUAAUUCCUUGUGAAUUUGUGACAAAAGGGGGGAGGUGGGCCCCUCGAGGCACCCCUCUAAAUCCACCGCUGAUGUAAAAGAUAGACGAACAGGAAAGUAAAUCAAAGAUUGAAAUGAAUCAUACACACAGGAUCCAUUCAGAGCGUGUUGUAAAUCGUCAGCAGAUUCAGCCAUUGAUACAGUGUCGUCAGCAUAAACUAAGAUCAACAGCUUCACGUACAUCAUUAUUAAAUUCAGCUUCAAUACAACAGAGCCAUUUACGCAUUUUGUUGAUGGAGGGCCAUCAGAAAAGUACCCUGACCCGAAGUCAGCUUUAGGACAUGGUCGAGUUACUACGAGCAGACCAACACCACAGAAACGACAAUCACCUGAUUAUUCAGACAACACAGCAGAGCCAAAGAAGCUUUUAGUUGAAGGCCCAGGGCCGUAAAUUACAUGGAGGCGGAGGAGGCAGCUGCCUCCUCCAACUUUUGAGCCAAAAAAAAUUAAAAUUUAAAGUUCAUUAGAAUUUAUGUCCGUUUCCAAUAACUAAGAACAUGAUACCUCCCUUAAAAAGCAUUCCAAAUCUUUCUUUUAGAAUGAGUUAGUCAAGUAACAUCUUAGAAGGCCCUAGAAUCAAGGAUUUUGCACGAAACGUAUUCAGUGUGCACAAAAUGUGCUCAGCGUCUGGGGGCCUGGGCGGCCCCCAGACCCCCGCCUAAUUUCCGGCCUCCUCCAAAUUGAAGGUUAAUUUACGGCCCUGAAGGCAGGGUUUUCGAAAAUGGACAGACUGAAGUUCAACAGACACAGGAGGAUUCGACAGUAGUGCCAACAGAUAACAGUGUUGUGUCAGAAGAUUGUCAACCUGUAAAAGAAUCAGUAGAAUCCAAUGAUAUAAACAGUCUUGAUGUAUUAGCAAUGGCUGCUGAGAAGAGGAAGUUAGAAGAAGUCAUAAUAUCUCUCCGAGAAGAAAACAACAAAUUAAAAUGUGAAAAAAUGCAUUUACAAUAUGUCGAGUAUGAGAUAUGAUAACUUAAAAACAGAGGAAUUUAAGUAUUAUACAGGAUUUUCAUCAGCAACAUUUAAUGUUAUAUACCAGUUUUUAGUUCCUGUGGAUGAGCCAUUUGAGUACUCGAAAAGUAUCAGUAGUCUAAGAAUUCUUAGUAUGAAGGAUCAACUGUUAUUUGUUUUAAUCAAAUUACGACAAAAUUUUGACUUUAAACAUAUGUCUCGGCUGUUUGGAAUUUCACCUCAAGACUGCAGUGUUAUUUUUAGUAACUGGAUAAAUUUCAUGUUUUACCACUUUGGAUUAGUACCUAUUUGGCCAGACAGAAGUAUUAUUACGUGAUGUGUACUCACCUUGGGAGGCCAUGGUUUAGAAAAAUGUUUUUCGUAUCCACAGAAUUUUAGCACAGUAUAUUCCUGUUCGAAUACAAACACCACUGCAGUAUAUGGGUAACACAAUAUUCAGAUUUCACAUCACAUGAAGACCAAAUUCCCUCCCUGGUUUAAACUGUGACCGUCCUGGCCAUUAGUCACGUGGUCAGAAGUAUUAUUAUAGACAACAUGCCACAAAAAUUUAAAGAAGAAUUUCCUACUACUCUUGUCAUCAUUGAUGGUGCUGAGGUGAAAAUUCAAAGGCCUAGUUCGUUAACAAAACAGAGUCAGUUUUACUCUGACUAUAAAUCCACUACAACUCUCAAGGGUUUAGUUGGAAUUGAUCCUAGAGGAUCUAUUAUAUUUGCCUCAAUGCUAUUUUCAGGCUCAAUUUCUGACAAUGACAUUGCCCAUCAGAGUGGAUUUUUCAAGAUUUUGAAAGAAAUGAUUAAAGAAGGUAAAAUACAUGAAGGAGAUGGGGUAAUGGCUGAUAAAGGUUUUCGUAUAGAAAAUGACCUUGAAAAGAUAGGGCUUAAGUUAAAUAUACCACCCUUUGCUCCUGCUUCAGGCCAGUUGGAAUCAUCUUAUGUGAAAAUGACAGAAAAAGUUGCUAGUCAUAGGGUGCAUGUAGAAAGAGCUAUUGUUAGAGUAAAGAAGUUUAAAAUCAUGGA